CAAAUCCCAGCUCCGCCAGUUGUCAUCUGUGUGACUUUGGGGUGACUAUUCACGCACGCGGGAAAUGGGGGUGAGCCGAGCCGGAUCGCGACUCCUGGGGGUCGUGGACCCGACCCUCCAGCUCCCGGGCUGAAAAAAGGUGUAACGCCUGCUCCUGGACCUGGACAAGAGACAGCAGAUGAGAAUGUCAUCCUCGCAUUCCCGAGAGCCUUGAGGUGCUGGCUAGAGUGUGUGGAAGUACACCCCUCUGGUUGGGUGCUGCGUGCAGGAAGACGAGGGCCGAUGGAUCCGGUUCUGAGAUUCCUCUGAUGACCCGGGGUGGCCAGCAGGCAGAUGCCAGGGAAGCGGGUUUGACUCAUCAUGAGUGAACUGAAGGUUUCAACUGGUGCCAGAAUUUCCAAAGACUUUAUUUGAACAACACAACCACUGUCUGACUCCACCCCACCGCCCCCAAUAAAAAACUACUGCACCAAAGA